UGGGCCAAGGUAGGGCCAAGCCUGUUCUCUACUGGGCCAAGGUAGGCCAAGCCUGUUCCUCACUGGGCCAAGGUAGGGCCAAGCCUGUUCCUCACUGGGCCAAGGUAGGCCAAGCCUGUUCCUCACUGGGCCAAGGUAGGGCCAAGCCUGUUCCUCGCUGGGCCAAGGUAGGGCCAAGCCUGUUCCUCACUGGGCCAAGGUAGACCAAGCCUGUUCCUCACUGGGCCAAGGUAGACCAAGCCUGUUCCUCACUGGGCCAAGGUAGGCCAAGCCUGUUCCUCACUGGGCCAAGGUAGACCAAGCCUGUUCCUCACUGGGCCAAGGUAGGGCCAAGCCUGUUCUCUACUGGGCCAAGGUAGGCCAAGCCUGUUCCUCACUGGGCCAAGGUAGGGCCAAGCCUGUUCCUCACUGGGCCAAAGAAGGCCAAGCCUGUUCCUCACUGGGCCAAGGUGGGCCAAGCCUGUUCCUCACUGGGCCAAGGUGGGCCAAGCCUGUUCCUCACUGGGCCAAGGUAGGCCAAGCCUGUUCCUCGCUGGGCCAAGGUAGACCAAGCCUGUUCCUCACUGGGCCAAGGUAGGGCCAAGCCUGUUCCUCACUGGGCCAAGGUAGGGCCAAGCCUGUUCCUCGCUGGGCCAAGGUAGGGCCAAGCCUGUUCCUCACUGGGCCAAGGUAGGCCAAGCCUGUUCCUCACUGGGCCAAGGUAGGCCAAGCCUGUUCCUCACUGGGCCAAGGUAGGGCCAAGCCUGUUCCUCACUGGGCCAAGGUAGGGCCAAGCCUGUUCCUCUCUGGGCCAAGGUAGGCCAAGCCUGUUCCUCACUGGACCAAGGUAGGCCAAGCCUGUUCCUCCCUGGGCCAAGGUAGGCCAAGC